UGGGGAAUUUUGGACAAUGGGCGAAAGCCUGAUCCAGCAAUGCCGCGUGUGUGAAGAAGGCCUUCGGGUUGUAAAGCACUUUUGUCCGGAAAGAAAUCCUUGGCUCUAAUACAGUCGGGGGAUGACGGUACCGGAAGAAUAAGCACCGGCUAACUACGUGCCAGCAGCCGCGGUAAUACGUAGGGUGCAAGCGUUAAUCGGAAUUACUGGGCGUAAAGCGUGCGCAGGCGGUUUGCUAAGACCGAUGUGAAAUCCCCGGGCUCAACCUGGGAACUGCAUUGGUGACUGGCAGGCUAGAGUAUGGCAGAGGGGGGUAGAAUUCCACGUGUAGCAGUGAAAUGCGUAGAGAUGUGGAGGAAUACCGAUGGCGAAGGCAGCCCCCUGGGCAAUACUGACGCUCAUGCACGAAAGCGUGGGGAGCAAACAGGAUUAGAUACCCUGGUAGUCCACGCCCUAAAACGAUGUCAACUAGUUGUUGGGGAUUCAUUUCCUAGUAACGUAGCUAACGCGUGAAGUUGACCGCCUGGGGAGUACGGUCGCAAGAUUAAAACUCAAAUGAAUUGACGGGGUCAUAGCUGUUUCCU
rnacentral:rRNA from 1 species